rnacentral:rRNA from 1 species
GACGAACGCUGGCGGCGUGCUUAACACAUGCCAGUCGAGCGAAGAGCGAUGGAAGCUUGCUUCUAUCAAUCUUAGUGGCGUACGGGUGAGUAACGCGUAAUCAACCUGCCCUUCAGAGGGGGACAACAGUUGGAAACGACUGCUAAUACCGCAUACGAUCUAAUCUCGGCAUCGAGGAUAGAUGAAAGGUGGCCUCUACAUGUAAGCUAUCACUGAAGGAGGGGAUUGCGUCUGAUUAGCUAGUUGGAGGGGUAACGGCCCACCAAGGCGAUGAUCAGUAGCCGGUCUGAGAGGAUGAACGGCCACAUUGGGACUGAGACACGGCCCAGACUCCUACGGGAGGCAGCAGUGGGGAAUCUUCCGCAAUGGACGAAAGUCUGACGGAGCAACGCCGCGUGAGUGAUGACGGCCUUCGGGUUGUAAAGCUCUGUUAAUCGGGACGAAAGGCCUUCUUGCGAAUAGUGAGAAGGAUUGACGGUACCGGAAUAGAAAGCCACGGCUAACUACGUG